ACCUCCUCAAACAAACCAGCCAAUAGAAACACGAAAUUAGGAAAUUCAAAAACACAAACACUUCACUGAAAAUAAAAUAAAAAAUCAAAAAAAUAAAAACCACGUGCUCGUCACAAGCAGUACGUUUCAAUCGACACGCCGGUGAAGAACAAUGUUUAUCGGCAUAUGAAAACUGCCGAUUCAGCUGGAUUAUAAGGAAAACGGCGAAAUAUUCGCCGGAAAAAAAAAACGAAAAAGCAGAUUCAAAACAGAGAAUCAAAACUCGCUUCCGAUAGCAACGGAGAUUUGAAACAGUAAGAAAUCAACUACAGUUUGUUCCGACGGAGAAGAGAGAGAAAUUCGGCAACGGUAUUGCAUUCAAUCGGAGUUAAUAUGAAUUGAAUACUGGUUUUAUUUUGACGCGGUAAUAAU
rnacentral:lncRNA from 1 species